GACGAACGCUGGCGGCAUGCCUAAUACGUGCAAGUCGAGCGGACUUGAUGAGAAGCUUGCUUCUCAGAUAGUUAGCGGCGGACGGGUGAGUAACACGUAGGCAACCUGCCCUCAAGCUUGGGACAACUACCGGAAACGGUAGCUAAUACCGAAUACUUGUUUUCUUCGCCUGAAGGAAACUGGAAAGACGGGGUAAUCUGUCACUUGGGGAUGGGCCUGCGGCGCAUUAGCUAGUUGGUGAGGUAACGGCUCACCAAGGCGACGAUGCGUAGCCGACCUGGGAGGGUGAUCGGCCACACUGGGACUGAGACACGGCCCAGACUCCUACGGGAGGCAGCAGUAGGGAAUCUUCCGCAAUGGGCGAAAGCCUGACGGAGCAAUGCCGCGUGAGUGAUGAAGGUUUUCGGAUCGUAAAGCUCUGUUGCCAGGGAAGAACGCUUGGGAGAGUAACUGCUCCCAAGGUGACGGUACCUGAGGAGAAAGCCCCGGCUAACUACGUGCCAGCAGCCGCCGUAA
rnacentral:rRNA from 1 species